rnacentral:lncRNA from 1 species
AAACAUACAUGAGAUACAAUUUAUAACAUAAAUAACAUAAAACACAAAUGUUUUAAACUUAAUUUCUGGUUUUCCAGAGGCACGUGUAUAUUGUCAUUUUCAAGAGGUAGGGCAAUUCUUCCACUCCCAAUCCAAUUCUUCGGAAAAAAAACGAAGCAACUGACUUUUUUUCUUGUUUUGUUUUUUCUUCCCCCACUCAUAUCGCGACACAUGUGUGCUUCUUAACAUAAGAAAAAUAUCUUAGUUAAGAUACAAUCUUAGUUGGUUUGAUUAAUUAUAAUAGUUUUUAAUGUUAAGAUUUGGCUAAGAUUUGGUCUAAGAUAUACC